GGGCACUGAAGAAUUGGGAGCCCUUAGGAGCGCCUAUUCUUGGCCCACACCAGGAACAAGGACAUGAGAAAGGGCUGUGAAAGGCAUCUCAAGUAUUCAUAGCUGAGUCUCAUAUGAAUCUAUUUUUUCCCUAUCUCUCUGUGCAGCUGAGUUGUUCCUUGGGAGAUAUAUUCCACAACUGCAGUGUUCUUGGUGAUGUUUUAAAAGGAAAUGGGAUGAACAGAGUUCCCAGUGGAGCUGAGAGAGGAGCUGGAUUUGCCCUGGAAUGCUAUCCACCAGGACAAUUCCCAUAAUCUAGAGUGUACCAUACAGGAAGCAUGGCUGAGUCACAGACAUGGCCAUCAACAAUCUCCAGGACUCAUUCGAAGACUUGGUG
rnacentral:lncRNA from 1 species